UCCUACAACCUGGCUUUGGCCUAUUACAG
rnacentral:piRNA from 1 species